rnacentral:rRNA from 1 species
AUUGAACGCUGGCGGCAGGCCUAACACAUGCAAGUCGAGCGGCAGCGGGAAAGUAGCUUGCUACUUUUGCCGGCGAGCGGCGGACGGGUGAGUAAUGCCUGGGAAAUUGCCCAGUCGAGGGGGAUAACAGUUGGAAACGACUGCUAAUACCGCAUACGCCCUACGGGGGAAAGCAGGGGACCUUCGGGCCUUGCGCGAUUGGAUAUGCCCAGGUGGGAUUAGCUAGUAGGUUAGGUAAUGGCUCACCAAGGCGACGAUCCCUAGCUGGUCUGAGAGGAUGAUCAGCCACACUGGAACUGAGACACGGUCCAGACUCCUACGGGAGGCAGCAGUGGGGAAUAUUGCACAAUGGGGGGAACCCUGAUGCAGCCAUGCCGCGUGUGUGAAGAAGGCCUUCGGGCUGUAAAGCACUUUCAGCGAGGAGGAAAGGUUGAUGCCUAAUACGUAUCAACUGUGACGUUACUCGCAGAAGAAGCACCGGCUAACUCCGUGCCAGCCGCCGCCGUAA